AUUGAACGCUGGCGGCAUGCUUCACACAUGCAAGUCGAACGGUAACAGGGAGCUUGCUCCGCUGACGAGUGGCGAACGGGUGAGUAAUGCAUCGGAACGUACCCAGUCGUGGGGGAUAACGUAGCGAAAGUUACGCUAAUACCGCAUACGUCCUGAGGGAGAAAGCGGGGGGACCGUAAGGCCUCGCGCGAUUGGAGCGGCCGAUGUCGGAUUAGCUAGUUGGUAGGGUAAAGGCCUACCAAGGCGACGAUCUGUAGCGGGUCUGAGAGGAUGAUCCGCCACACUGGAACUGAGACACGGUCCAGACUCCUACGGGAGGCAGCAGUGGGGAAUUUUGGACAAUGGGGGCAACCCUGAUCCAGCCAUGCCGCGUGAGUGAAGAAGGCCUC
rnacentral:rRNA from 1 species